CUCAAAGAAGGCUAUGACAUUAGCCUUGGAAGAUUCCUAAACCGCUCCUAGAAAGGUGCUGAUAAUGUCUACCUAAUG
rnacentral:ncRNA from 2 species